rnacentral:rRNA from 1 species
UACGUAGGAGGCGAGCGUUGUCCGGAAUUACUGGGCGUAAAGAGCGCGUAGGCGGCGCUGUACGACCGCUGUGAAAGCCCCCCGGCUCAACUGGGGGAGGGUCAGCGGUAACGGCAGUGCUACGAGUGCAGGAGAGGGAAGUGGAACUCCGGGGAGUAGCGGUGAAAUGCGUAGAUACCCGGAGGAACACCAGUGGCGAAGGCGGCUC